CCAGGUGUCAGGAGUGAUGACCUUACCGAGCUUCUUCUCACCUGGAGAUAAAAAGCAACGCAGCAUAUGUAACAAAAGCAACGCAGUGGAUUUAAAGGAAAUAAGCCUAGAAGGUGAAGAGGGAGUAUCGAGAGCAUCCUGAGCAGCUGCAUGACUGUCUGGUAUGGAAA